rnacentral:lncRNA from 1 species
ACAUCAGUUCCCACCUCUUCCUCUUCUAUACAUUACACGAACCCACAUAAACCCUACACCUCCCAUCCUUUCAGCAAGUCCGAUCUUUUGUUCACCGGUAGGAGCACGCCGCUCGUUUGCUCGCCGCAAGUUCCCAUCGGCGGUCUCGUAUCCAAGAAUCUACAGGUGCUCGUUCUUAAUAUUGCAUUUGAAGCACAAGAAUGACCAGCACCCGGGCUGUUUCCAGGUCUUCUGGGUUUGAACGCAUCAGCAACUGCUUCUGAAUUAGAAUACGACCCUUGUUUGGUGAACGAAUGGCCUGCUCCGGGACUGCUACCUAGGGUGAACGAAUGGCCUGCUUUGGUGCAGCUGUUAAAGGGUUUUGCAAUGCAUUAGAGGUAUGUGUAUUUUGUGUUUUUUGUUUCAAGGCUCCCUCGACUAGUAGGAUUGCGUUGCAAGCUAUUAUCAACUAGAGGAUAAAUUGUGAGUUUAUCUGAAAGUUGACCAUGACUAUGAGAAGAAUAAUAUAAGUAUGAAGUCAGUUGUAUACUGAUAGUUAAAGGCUCAAAGCCAACACAAGUGGCAAAGGGUGAGCAUGUCGCCUGGGUGUAAGAUCUCAAAAAGCGCAGGCUCGAGACAAGCAAGGCGCACGUCCGGUCCAGGCCAUUGUUAGGUGCUUCACACUUGUUUUCGGCUGUUUUACACUAGUCUAGAUUGUUUAGACUGAUUCAAAGCGUUUGAAACUACUUUUGGCGGUUAAGACAAGUUUUUUACCGGUUCAAGCCUGUUUGUUCCUGGUUUAAAGGAAUCUACUAGCAUAUCUUCUUGAAGAAGAAAGGAACCUACUUGCAACUCGUCUUGACGAAGAAAGGAAAGCAAGGGAAGAACUUCAAAAACAACUUCAAGAAUUUAUGAAGAAUUGGCGUCCUCCCUCUAAUUAGAUGUAGUUUUUGAUAUCUAUUUUGAAUUAUGUUAAAUUGUAUUAGCUUACAGUUUAAACAUAUUGGAACUUGCGUUGUGACGCAUGAUUUUUGAAUUUAUGUCAUUGUAACUUCAGUGAGUUUUGUAAAACAGGUUUUUGGUAUUACAAAUUAUUUCUGGAAUUUUUCGCCAGAAAAAUGCAGAAAUAUUAAUUCUUUUUUU